rfam:Pteropus alecto contig41587, whole genome shotgun sequence.
GGUUCCAUAGUGUAGCGAUUAGCAUGUCUGCUUUACACACUGAAGGUCCUGGGUUCACACCCCUGUGGAGCCA